CACGUAGUUAGCCGGUGCUUCUUUACCCAUUACCGUCACUCACGCUUCGUCACAGGCGAAAGCGGUUUACAACCCGAAGGCCGUCAUCCCGCACGCGGCGUUGCUGCAUCAGGCUUCCGCCCAUUGUGCAAUAUUCCCCACUGCUGCUUCCCGUAGGAGUCUGGGCCGUAUCUCAGUCCCAAUGUGGCCGGUCACCCUCUCAGGCCGGCUACCCGUCAAAGCCUUGGUAAGCCACUACCCCACCAACAAGCUGAUAAGCCGCGAGUCCAUCCCCAACCGCCGAAACUUUCCAACCCCCACCAUGCAGCAGGAGCUCCUAUCCGGUAUUAGCCCCAGUUUCCUGAAGUUAUCCCAAAGUCAAGGGCAGGUUACUCACGUGUUACUCACCCGUUCGCCACUCGAGCACCCCACAAAAGCAGGGCCUUUCCGUUCGACUUGCAUGUGUUAAGCACGCCGCCAGCGUUCGUCCUGAGCCAGGAUCAAACUCU
rnacentral:rRNA from 1 species